UAGCCAUAUCAUGUUGAAACACCAGUUCUCAUAAAAUCACUGAACUUAAGCAACGUUGAGCCUGAUCAGUACCUAUAUAGGUGACUGCUUGGGAAUGCCAGCUGCC